rnacentral:lncRNA from 1 species
GAACUAAAGGGUCGUAAAAAGGAGGAAUUCUACACUGUCACACUUGCACCACGUCAUCAAUAACAAGCCAAUCACAAUCCUUCUUUUCAAAUAAAAGUACAAUAAAAAUAUUUUUUUACAAUCAUAAUGGGACAUAUAUUCUUAAAAUGAUUAAUUUGAUUGGUUUGUUACGCCACGUCACUAAUAUACCCGUUGCAUUCUAGAAUUUUUCCGUAAAAAGG